UGAUAUCUGUAACAAAUAUAAUCUAAAUUCAUUCUCAUUUUACCAAUCAUGUUGUCACUUUUAAACAACAAGUACUUCAAAUAAUUUGGUACUUGAUUUCUGUCUCAUAUAGUGAUUAAUAAGGGUGGCUAUUUUAGAGCUUGAAUUCUAUAACAUCGCAACAAUAACGAUAAUAAAAAGAAUUAACCAUGAGCAAGGAAGGUCAUUUUUACAGCUUUUGAUAAAUAUUGCAAUCAAUAGUCGAAUAAUCAGAAGUCAUUUCUCUAUUAUAAAAAUUCAAGUAUAGUCAGUAAAAUCAUCAUCUACAAGAGAGUCUCAUCAUCAUCUACAAGAGACGUCACAGAAUGCGAGUCCUGCCAUGUUGCGCGCGGUACUUUACGACAAUAACUGCGGGUGACGCUGCAGGGCGAAGCUAGUCUAAAAAAUAGCCUAAGUUACUCCUUAUAUUAUCAGCUACCUAUUAGUGAAAGUCUCAUCAAAAUGGUCCAGCCGUUCCAGAGAUUAGCCGGAACAAACAGACAGACAGACAAAAAUUGUAAAAAAUGUUAUUUUGGUCUAUGUACCGUAUAUAUAUUCAUAUGCAUGUAGUAAAUAGAGGCUAUUUCAAUAUUACAAACAGACACUCCAAUUUUAUUUAUAUGUAUAGAUUCAAUAGGAAACUGAACUGAAAUUUCACCUGCUAUUAUUAUGUAAAAAUAGUUGUCUUAGACAAAAUAUUAUGAAUCUUCUUAAGCCCAUCCUAAGUGGUGAGGUAGGUUGUACAGGAAUAAUGGCAGUCCUAUCCUUCAAAUUGUAAGCGAUAUAUACUUCGCAACACAAAGAGACAUGGCACUCAAGCCCUACUUAUCAACGAGCAAGCAAAUUCAAACUUUAGUUUGAUUUAAUUCACAGUGCAAAUCAUUUAUGAGCAUUUUUUGCAUAUUACUUUACAUAUUCAAUAUUUAAAUAAUACCUACAGCAGAAAUAUGACACUAAACUUGUUACCGGUUUUAUUAUUGACCUAGAAUAUAAUUAAAGCAAUUAGUAGCUGACCUACAAUACAUUCACAUCUUUUAGCUACUUACUUUUAUGUAAGUAUAAGUAUCAAUAAUUUAUUAUAUAAAUAUUAAUUUGCAUAUCACAAAUUCAGGAAUGCGAAGUCAAAUGAAUUAGCACAAAUUUAUUUAAGCUCCAGAUUCGCGAUUACGAAAAGGCGAACAUUAAUUGAAGGAAUGAAAUAUAUUUGCUGUAUAAUAUCAACCUAUUAUCAUUUUUCACUAAGUUUCAUGUUGGACCACAUCAGAGCUCAGUAAUCAGUCAAAAAGUAAAAAAUCAUCAAAAUCAAUUGGUAAGAAACCUUCUUCAAAUAUAUUGCCAACAAUUACUAAAGUAUUAAACGAUACUUGAAUAAACAAUAUGAAUCAUUUAGAAUCUGAGUAUAGCAGGUAUUUCAGUUUUCUCUAUAUUUGUACCCUAUGUAGGUUCCAUGGACAUGGAUCUAUUUUUGCAAGAUACUAUCUGAUUCUGGAAUUACCCCUAUACAGUUUCCUGACAGCUGAGACAUGUCCUUCUUUAAAAAGGUUUGAGGAGAGUCCUCAGAAGUAUGCAGCAGCUUGGCAUUGCUAAUUUCCAUGAGCAACAGUGACUAGUUACCAUCAGGUGGGUCAAUUUGCAUGUCUUCCUGUGAAAAAAUGGUGGAAAAAAAUAUAUUUUUUAAGCUUUUCACUCUAAAUCACAGUGGAGACUGUCAUUAGGCAAGCAGCUCUGAUUGCCAAGCUUUUAUGCUUAAAGUAUGGGAUAAAGUUUUUUUUUUUAAAUGAAUAAGGCUCAUUUUUAAUUAAGGCAGUUUAGUGUUGCUCUAAAGUAUUGUUGGUUUAUAUUAAAUAAUCCUUUAAUACUUCACUAUGAAUUAAACCAGAUCACAUUGUACCAAACUAUCUUUUAGAUGAUUGUUUUAAAUACUUAAACUUUUUAGGAAAUGCUUACAAUUGUUAUCAUUGUCUUGAGGUACUAAAAUAAUUUUCCGCGUUAAUAAGAAAAGUUUUUAAAAACACCUACCUACCUUAGGCCUUAAAAAUAAUAAAUAAGCAUUUUUUUUUAAAUUUCGCUCCAUUCAAUUUAACUCACCAGUUAAAAGUGGUUGCACAAUACCGUUUUGUCGAGCCAUCUGUUUAUCUGCAAUAGAUAUUUCACUCGACAUUUUUUCUUAUACAAAGUAAUUUAGUUUAACACUAACAAGCACGUCAGAACUGUUUAGUAUCUCUACAACAACUAAAACAAGUAAUUUCAUCGUGUGGCGUUGAACAGUACCUCGUUAUCAGCGCGCGAAACUGAGUUUAUAGGAACUUUACUAGAGGAACCUGAAAUGUUACGCAUGCGUAUUUGAAUUUCUAUUGACCAAAGUUAGAGGUCGGACUUGAAGGUCAUUUCAGUUGUUGUACCUACAUUAUCAGCUAUUAAUUACUUAUUUACUACUUGAUUAUUGAUCAGUUAAGUGUAUUACCUAUCUAUGUUAUUUUGAUGUUCAUGACAAAUUUAGCAGUGUGUACUGUGUAACUUAUGAUCGAUCGACUCAAAAGUCAAAAAACGCAUUUCCCUCCCAAUUCUCGCAAUUUGUGAUAGUCUGUGCUCUCAAAACUACACAAACAUUCUUGGACUUUUUGGCGGGAACGCGAGGAGUGAAGUUGUGUGAUUUGUUUUAUUUUGUCUAUUUAGUGUUUCUUCGGGUUUAAAUGUGUAAUAAUGGUGGUUUAUUAACUGUUUAAUAUCUGUGAAAGUGCACAAAUGUGGAAAAAUGAAACAAAGCCGCUCAUCAUCAUCACAUCUUAUCUCAUUUCAUUUUAUGUCAUGUUUCAUAUUAAUUAACUUCAUUUCUUUUUACUUCUUAUCAUUGUUCAUAUAAAUAUUAAUAUAUAAAAGAUUAGGUUGUUUGGUAUGACACUUUUGCCUUUUCAGUUGGAAAAUAAAACUACUACUUGGUGAUAACUUUGGCAUCUGUAAUGAUGUUCAGCUUCUAUGAAGGUGCACAAAUGUGGGAAAAUAAAACAAAGCCGUUGGACGUCUUCUCAGGAUUUUCCAAAAAUUCCACUAAAAGAGUCUCACUCAGUAAAUGACCACCAUUUCACUGAGAUUAUUUCAUCUCAUAUCAUCUCAUCUCAUUUAAUUUGACUUCAUAUUAUCAUUUUACAUAUUAAAAAAAUAUAUAAAAGAUGAAGCUGUAUGAUAUGCCACACACUUGCCUUUCCAAUGGGGUUGGCAACUGUCAAAGUGGCGCUGUUGUGCAUUGAGCAUUGUUCCCAUAACAUUCAAUAUUUGUAUUGGAAUUUUUGAUUAAAAAUUAUUUUAAACACAAUGACGCGUUGUUUUGUGCCAAUAUGCUCAGAAAUUGGAGUACAUCAAUUCCGAAGGACAAGAAAAUUGGAAGACUGUGGUUAAAGGCCAUUUGACGCGAAAAAAGUACUCCCACAAAAAGUUCGAGGUUAUGUCGUAAACACUGUGGAAUCUGGCUAUGAAAACAUUAGUAAAUACACAGGUGUCAAACAUUAACAUAAAUAUCUGAAGAAAGGUGCUGUACCAUCUAUAUUUUCAUGGAAUAUGAAACCAGUUUCUGAAGAAACAAAAAGUAGAGAACAAAGGUUACAAACUCGUAACCUUAAAAAACAGCUUUUUAGCCUGCCCAACACUUCCCAAUACUAUGAAGAUAUAGUACCCCUUGAAGAACACAGCAAUGUGCAUUUUGAUUCAAAUGUCUCUCAAGAAAUUCUAAUAGAAAAUAAUAACUCUAGUAUAGAUGAAACAAUUACAAGGCAUCAUAUUACUAUUGGAACUCAAACAUCCAAUAUAUUAAAAUUGUUCUCUACAGAGCUAUUACUUGCAGACGAUGAGACAGUGCAAUACUACACCGGGUUGGAAACAGCAUCUAAGUUUUCAUUAGUUUUAAUCACACUUUUGCCAAUGUCAAAUGAUAUAAGGUAUCGCUGGAGUAGAGUGGUCGGCAUAUCAAUAGAAGAUCAAUUUUUAAUGUUACUAAUUAAGCUUAGAAGAAACAACAGAUUUUGAAUUAAGUAAAAUUUUCGGUGUAAGUAAAACUGAAGUGUCUAAUAUUGUUGUAACAUGAAUAAAUUUUGUCAGUGAUAUCUAGAGCCUAAUUGACAUUUGGCCUAUCCGCAGCUUAGUAAAUUAUUAUAUGCCUAAUUGUUUUAGAACACAUUAUCCCUCCACAAGGGUGAUUAUAGACAGGACUAAAAUAGGCAUACAGAAGCCUAGUCAACCUGAUGCUCAAAAAGCGUCAUUUAGUUCUUAUAAACAUAAAAAUACCUUGAAAUUUUUGGUAGGAGCUUCACCAGGGGGAUUAUUAUCAUAUGUUUCAAACGGCUACGCUGGUUCUGCAAGUGAUCGACAGGUAGUAGAACGAAGUAAGCUGCUGCAGAUUUGUGAUUCUAGAGAUAGUAUUAUGGCAGACAGAGGUUUUAAUAUACAGGAUCUGUUUGCCUCUAAGGAAUUAGUAUAAAUAUCCCAUCUUUUUUAAAAGGUAAGUCACAAAUCCCAGGUGUUCAGUUAAAGAUAGAUCAAAAAUUUGCUAGUCAGAGGGUUCACAUAGAAUGAUUAAUUUCAUAUGUGUAAUGUUAUAUAAUUUUAGAGAAGGAAUUGUCAAUAAAAUAAUUAAAAAUAUUCCUGAUUUUUUAUUUCGACAAGUGUGUAUAGUUAUAAUACAGAUAUUUUUCAUACAAUGCUUCUUUGAAAAUAUUUUCACAAAAGAUAUCUAAUUUAUUUAUCAUAUUAUUUAUAAAAUUAUUGUCUUUUUCAACAUAAAUCACUUUGAUGUCCUUGUAGGUGUAAAUGACCAAGUUGCAGUAUGUUAUAUGCAGUAUGUAUUUGAUAAUAAUAUGGGCAGGUUUUUUUAGAGACAAUAUCCCGUUACAUAGUUCUAAGUAAGGCACCGUUGUUAUAUUUAUUUCAUGUUUUCUGCUAGCGUAUGGAUAUUUCACUUCAAUUAUAGUUUCUUCGCCCAACACACCAUCAGGAGAUGCAGCAAGAUAUGGGCGCUCUUGGCUAAUGACAAUGCCACAUGGCUCCACUAGCAAAUCAUAUAUAUUAGCAUAUUUUGCUAGAGCAAUUUUUUCAUUUUGUUUCAAAAUUAAAAUUUUGGUCAUAUAGCUCUAAUCUGAAAAAAGUAAAAUAAUAUAUUAGUUGGUAGGUAAUGUGUAAUAUGAGCAAUUCUUUUUGCACAUGCUACAAGGAAUAAAGUUCCUAAGGUACACAAUUUAAUAUUAUUAUUAUAAUAGCUACCGGAAACAGUUUGAGAGAAGUUUUCUAAGUUAAAAUAAAACAUCAACAUUGUACUUUUCGACAAAAUCCACUUUUUUUUCUCGUAAAGAUGCAUCACGUUUUCUCAACUCCUCCUUUAAUUCUUUAACUAUCCAGUAGGAAUACAUGUUGUAAAACUGUUUAGCACUACUUAGAAAGUAAUAAGAACCGUAUCAAAGUCACAAAAUGCCGAAAUAUCACGAACGCAAAACACACAAAAUGGCGGCUCUCUGUGACAAGGGAACAAGCUACGCUGGCGACAUCUGAGAAAAGCUUUAACCGGCCAACCCAAUGCCAACCCCAUUGGAAAAAUAAAACUACUACUCCGACUCCGUACUAGACAUGUGUAAGUAAUGCGAGUGAUAUUACUCGGGUAAUAUUACUCUACGAUGUAAUGCAACAUCACACAUUACGCGAAGGAAACAAACAUCACACUAUCACCCAACAUGUUUCUUUCUUUGUCGUGUAAUGUUGCUUAAUACACGAACGGAACCGAGCGAGCGAGACAGACCGAUCGACGCAAUAUAAAUGAGCAAGCGACACGGAAUUAUUCCUAGUGAUUUUGAACCGUAUGUCCUGGCCGCUAGGUACAUUUUUAUACCUAUGGUACGUCUGAAUUUUAAUAUAGGUAUUUGUGUUUAUAUUUUUCAUGCGGCCAGCCGGUAGCUCCCCGCAAGUACUUACUUAAUUUUUUAUUCGCAACUUUUGUAAAAUCGCUAGUCGCUCGUAAUUGUUUAGUAAUAUUUCAUAUUAAUUUUUGUGUUUGAUUUGAAUUACUUAAGCACUUGUUUGAAGAUAGUUUCAUUAUUUGUUUUAAUGCGUGUUUAAUAAGUGAAAGAAAUAACGCCGUCUAAAUGAAAGUACAGUCCUCCUUGGAUGCACUUUGAGGAUAUCGCGCCGAAACAAUGCAUCUACUGCUCUCGUAUAUUAACAUUAUUGUCGAGCUCAAUUUGCAGUCUAAGUCGCCAUAUGAAAUCCGUUCAUCCCACAAUAAAUUAUAUUAAGUAAAAAAUAAAAUUAUUAUAUUAUUAAGUAAGUCAAUCUCUGUCAAGUAAUAUAACAGUGUAUUACAAUACAAAGUUCAUACUUUGUAUUGUAAUACACUACUGUAAUGUCACACCCGAAUCAUUACCUAAGUGAUGUGUAUCAACACAUCACUUAAGUAAUGAUUCGGGUGUAUAGAUACAAUGUAUUCGUCGUCACAGUAUCUAUUGAACGCACCGAGUAAUGUUAAGAGUGAUGUGUAAUGUUUUCGAGUAAUAUCACCUGUCUGUAAAAGUGAUGUCAUAUCACAUUACAUUGGCAAGUGAUGUUUUGCGCAAGUCUACUCCGUACCACGAGUCACGAGAGGUGCCUGAAGUUAGCCCCUCAAAAAAAAAUUUCUUUCCUGUUUUCUACUUAUUUUCUAUUAAUUCGUUUGCUCAUCAUUUGUUCUUGAUUGUUCACUGUUAAUAAUUGUUUGUUCUGCAUUUAUUUAUUUUAAAAAAAUUAUUAAAAAUAUAUGUACAAGUUAGCCCCCCGAUUGCAAUUUUUAAUAUUUUUUCGUCAUUAAUGACUCGUAAAUAUUCAUUUUCGAUUGUUCUUAUAUAAAAUACGUUUGUUCUCUUUCGAAAUUACUCAUUUUUUGUUUAAUUAACUAUUUGUAUUAGUUGAAUAAAUGUAUGCAAAAUAUGUGUACUGCGCAUGCGUCAACUAUAAUGCCUCAACUUUCUACGCUGUUUUAAUCGUGAAAAAAAAAACAAUUAUAAAUCCUGAAGGAUCAAUUGCUAUUGGAAGCUGUGCAAACUAGAAUAAAUUCUAAUAAAGAAUAAGAAUAAACUUUGAAGAGAAGAAGAAAAGAGCUUUCUUCGAAGCUCAAUUCUACAAGGUAUUCAAUCAGACAGCUAUCUAUCUCUGUCUUUCCUGUAUGAAAUGUUGGUAUGUCGAAAUCUUGGAUAAAUCCAGCAAAGCUAAAUAAAGUAUUUACCUAAAAAAUAUGUUUAUGCUUAAAGUCACGUGUUUGUUAUUCGAAAAUAUUAACCAAUUUUUCAAUCGAAGAUUAAAACAACAUUAAUACUGAGAAUGAAUAUUUAUUUAUAAAAUACACAUAUAUGUUUUAACCACAAAUUUUGCACGAUAAUUUAAAUUAAUAUUCAUUAAUAUUAAUUUAAAUAAAUAUUAAUUAAUCUUCUUCUAUAACUCAUAGUCAACUGUUGAUCCUUCUGUUGCUGGUGCAUUUGACUCAUCACUGUCAAAUUUGUCCUCAGGAACAACAGUUUUCUUUUUGCUGGUUCUGAUUGUUUACUUGUACUUGCUUCAGAUAUAUUAAGGGGUGAUGUGGCAAUACACACUUGCCUUGCCUUUGUGUUCCUGUGCUGGAGCUACUUGGAUAGCUUUGUCAUUACUACACCUACUUUCAAGUGGCUGGACAUCUGGAAAUAUGAAAUAAUGUUAGCAAUUUCUAGGUCUGUCUGAGAAAACCGUAUCAACAAUAAUACAAGCAGGAAAGACUGCUGCAAGUACUUCAAAAAAGAUUGUCACGCCAGGGAAGAGUCAUCCACGUUCAAAUAAGAUAAAAUAAUUAUAGAUGAUUUUGAUAUUUGUGCUAUUCGCCAUAAAAUUCACCAAUUUUAUGCUGUAAAACAGGAACUGCCGACAUUAAACAAAUUACUUGCAGUGUUGAAACAAGACAUUCGAAUCGAACCACUGAAAAAGGACCUGUCAUAUUCGUAAAUGAGACUUAUAUCCACAGCACAUACCAUUCUAGAAGUUGUUGGCAAAGUGAGGAAGAGUCAGGACUUUUCACUUCAGAUUCUGUUGGGAGUAGAUGGAUAAUCGCACAUGCUGGUAUAGAAAAUGGUUUUAUUAGUAAUGCUUUACUUAUUUUUAAAUCUCAAAGUCUUCUGAUUACCAUAAUGACAUGAAUUCAACUAAUUUCCUCAAGUGGAUGAAUGAAAAAUUUAUUCCAAAUUUGCCAGCAAGGUCUCAUGUGGUUAUGGAUAAUGCUCCAUACCACUGUACCCAAAUAAAUAAAGCUCCAACCAUGUUGGGAGUAGAUGGAUAAUCGCACAUGCUGGUACAGAAAAUGGUUUUAUUAGUAAUGCUUUACUUAUUUUUAAAUCUCAAUCAAAGUCUUCUGAUUACCAUGAUGACAUGAAUUCAACCAAUUUCUUCAAGUGGAUGAAUGAAAAAUUAAUUCCAAAUUUGCCAGCAAGGUCUCAUGUGGUUUUGGAUAAAGCUCCAUACCACUGUACCCAAAUAAAUAAAGCUCCAACCAUUUCAAUUUUAAAAGACGAAAUGCGUAAGUGGUUGCGAGAAAGGGGUAUUUAUUUUGAAGAGAGCUGGACGAAACCCGUAUUAUAUAAACAUAAAACAAAAUAAAGGACCACCGGCUACUUAUACUGUAAAUGAACUUUUAAAAAGUCACAAUCACGAAGUUUUAAAACUUCCAUCGUAUCAUUGCGAUCUAAACCCAAUUGAAAAGAAAUGGAGCCUUGUUAAAAGACGUGUGGCAGAGAAAAAUUUGGAACAAAACCCAAAAAACAUUGUGAAAGAUACAGAAGAUGUGUUUGCAAGUGUAACGCCAGAUUGGGCUAUUCAAUAUAAGCAUGUGGAGCAUCUAGAAGAUGAAUAUUUCAAAAACGUGAUAGAUGAAGAAAUGGACCGAUUUAUAAUAUUUGCAGCAAGUGAUAGCGAAACAGAAUCUGAUAAUGAUAGUGAUAUGAAUGUAGAUGAUCCGAAUAGUCCUUGCAGUAUGGAAUAACUCCAAUAGAUGACUAUAAUUAUACAAUUAAAAUUUAAAA